CCCUGUAUACAUAGAGAAAGGAGAUUGGUUUCUUGUUCUAAUAAUUAUAUUUUGUUGUGGUUGCCUAAUACAAGAUGCCCAUCUAGUUGUUAAAGCCUAGGUCACCUUCAUUGUGAAAUAGUUUUCUUCUCUUUUUUUAAAAAAAUUGAUUUAUUUGCUUAGUGGGUCCUGAAAAAAUUAUGAUUCUUGAAAUUAGAUAUUGCUGUUUGAGCUUGUUCCAAAGUUUUAUUAUUAUUUUUUUUUGAAGUGGAGUCGGAUGGAUGAGAUGUGUACACACACAUCAAACUAGUUUUUUAUUUUACCAAUAACGUUUAUAAUAAAAUGGUAAAUAAUCAUUUAUUCUUAAUCAUAGGUGUUGAGCUUAAGUCCCUCUGAAUGUGAGGGAGCGCUUUAACCCCUUAUUUGGAACUCCUGAACGUGAAUUUAAUUUUAAUUGGACUUCAACAUGGAUCUAACACUAGGUGGGAAAAAUAAUAUAGUUUUUCUUUUUUAAAAAAAUAAUAAUGAUAAUAAUAAGAUAUGUUGAAUUUUACUUGGUUUUGAAGAUUCAAACAGCUAGUAUUCAUCACAUUCCUUUUCUUACAAAUAAGAAUACUUCCAACCUAAUUGCUAUGUUUGUUGGCUGAGUUAGCUUCUUCUUCUCUCAAAGUUAAUGUUAUACCCAAAAAAAAAAAAAACACUUCAAAUGCAUCUGUCAAAUUCACUCACCUAUUAUUAUCUUUUUCCUAUUAUUUAGCCUAUGAGCAGGUGAGAAAUAUAGAAACUUCAAGAAACCUGAACCUUUUUAAUUAUUAUUAUUCAUAGAUUUAAUUUACAAGGAAUUAGAAAAAGAUGGGGUUAUGCUAUGAAUAUAACUUUUCUCCCUUUUAUUUUGCAUUCUGGAAUCUUGACUCUCUAAUUAACAAGUCUAAUUUAACAUAGUCAUGUGGUAAACCUGAUUAACUGAAAUUUACCUAACAAUUAGGUUGAUAACUAUUUGAAAAAAAAUAAUAAUCAUUUUUAUGGUUGAGCCAAAACAAAAAAGUAGUCCCUCUACUCCACCAUACAUCCUAAUUAAAUUAAAUUUCUCCCAUAUAGACCAAAAAAAAUAAAUUAAAAAUGGUAGCAUCUUUUUUUUCUGUCAACCAUAAAAAAAAAAUUAUAAAUAUGUCCAUCUUGUGUGCUUUCAUUCGUGAAGGCAUAAUGCCAGCCCAUUCUUUCUCUUGGAAUUGUCCUUUCCAUCAAUUGAGCCAUAACACCAUUGACGAAAACAACAAUUAAAGAGUAAAUACAUUAUACGGGAAAAUGCAUAAGUAAUUCCCUAGCCUAAACUCAUUUUAUUCGUAUUUUUGUGCAUCUUUUGUGCUGACUCAGAGUACUACGUAUUCAUUAAGGAAAAUCCCCAACUUACACGACUCUCAUGAAUUGUCAGACCUUCCCAUCCAUCCAUCAAACGAAUAUAUUGAGGUGGAAGAAAAUGAAAUGAGAUAAACAAUUAUUUUGAUGUCCUCGUAAUGCAAAACUCACUUGCAUUUACGUUAUUCUUUAUAUGUGUCGUGUGUUAGUUGAAUUGGUUGACUAAUUAUAAUUCAAAACCAUCUAGGUGCAUUAGAAUUGUACAUCUUGUAGGCUACCUUUUGAUAAAAAUUUAUGGCUAUGAUCCAUUUUAAGUACUAUCGUCAAAAUAAAAGUACCUCUACUUCUACGUUUAAUCAAAAAGGCAAAUAGCCGGCAUUGCAAACUAAAAGAAGCCACCACUUAUGUGUGAAUCUUUUGUCAACACUUAUGGCUCUAGCUUGAGCUAGGUCUCGUACUACUAUUCAAUAAAGGAGAAGUUUUUCUUAUUGAAUUGAAGUCGUAAGCUAUCUCUAUUCAUUCAUGCACCAAGCAUACCAUUUGGGUGAUCAUAAAGUCUAUGUGCACAAUUAUAUACCCAUCCACCUAUCUAACUCUUGUAUAAUUUGUUUCUUUUUGCUAUGUCUCUUUCUUAUGACACAUACCUUUCUUAUUCAAUUUUUCUUUUCUUUUUGCUUGAGUUUAUUGGUUUUGUUCUUUUCUUUUAAAAAAAAUAAUACUAACCAUUAUUUGUAUUUAUUAGUUGUAAUUAUUUUGCCACGUAAUGAAUGGUGUAAUUGAUGUUAAAUAACGUGUUGCUAGUAUUUGAUUAAAUCUCAUUAGGUGGUUGUUGUACAGUGUUUUUUGAUACAAGUAAGUGUUAGUUGAUCUGAACAUUAUGAUUUUCAAUAAAAUUUUAAAAAGAUGAACGUAACUUUUACUCGACAAAUAAUUUAAUAAUAAGAACUAAGCGCUAUAUGUGAUUAAAGCUUUUUGUGAUCACCUUUUAUGCAACUGAAUAUUUAUGUAUAUUUUCAAACAUAUUUAGUAGGAAACAAAUGUAAAAUAAGCACAACUAUAUUUUUUUUAAAAGUAUUCAACUAAUAUAUAUUGAAGACCAUAUAGAUGUGUCUAGCACCCCCCCCCCCCACAAAGCAUAUAUCUACUUGUAUACAUGUUUAUUUUGUAGGACCAAAAAUCUAACAUCUAACUAAGGGUGAGAUAAUGAAUAGCAAGCUUUAUUUGAUUAAUUGACUAAUAAAUUAAAUACCACAACUAAUAAUCCAAGUCAAGUCAGAAAUGCAUGCAGGCCGAAUUGAUUGACUUUAGAGAUAAUUACUCAAAUUAUUGGCCUAAUAUUAAUACUUAAGUUAGGCACCCAAUGACGUAGCUUAGUGGGUAAUAAAACGAACUAGGUAAUUUUAUUUUUUUCAUUUUAGCUUUAACUGAUAUAAUUAUUUGAUACCAUUUACUGAUAAAAGGUGAUAACUAGUUAAAUUGUGCGUAAAUUGAGGAAACGCUACGAUAAUAAAAAAUAAAAACUUAGUGGUAAACAAUUGUUCACGCAAUACAAGUGCAUAACCAACCAAUUAUCAUUCUUUAUUUGCUUAUAUUCUUUCAUAAAAUUAGCCUCUCUUUUUUUAUGGAUGUAUAUAUCCAUGAUCUUUUCUUUCUAAUUUUUGUGUAUUUUUCAAUAUAAAAUAAUUGCAUAUACGUAACGUUUUUGGGCUAUUGGCCAUCUAUGGAGAGUUUUCGAAUAUUUAAUUUGAUACAAAAUUGAAGAAGGAGAAAAUCGAAAAUAUAUGUUUUGAUAAAUUUUUAAGUAAUUAUAUGAUAUGUCUUUAUGUCACUUCAAAAUCAAUUAAUUCAACUCGUGUAUUAGCCACUUAUAGCGGUUCAAAAUAAUGGUCCUAAUUUUGUAAUAUUGAUGACUCUUCGUCCAUUUCACAAAAAAAAAAAAACAUAAAAAAAAAA